GUCGCUGCUCUGUGGGAGGGAAAAAAAAGGAAUGGAAAGAUAAAGUAAGCGUUUUGAUAACGCAGAAGUUGUUUUUAAUCAUGACAUUUGAUUUUAAUUUACUGAUCAUUAUAAAACUAGUUUUACAUGCAAUCGAAAAAGGCACUUUUAAUAGUAGUUUCCGUGGCUUGUAUCUAUAAAUGUUCUUUUCAGUUCAUUAAGAAAAUUAAAAAUUUUAGGAAUUUAAAAAAUUGUUAUAGUAAGAGGCAUUACAAUAUAUGUUGGUAGGUUAAGGUAGCUCAAAAUAUAUUGUACAGCAAAA